UUAGCGGCGGACGGGUGAGUAACACGUGGGCAACCUCCCUUGUAGAUUGGGAUAACUCCGGGAAACCGGGGCUAAUACCAAAUAAUCCAUUUUGCUUCAUGGCGAAAUGUUGAAAGGCGGCUUCGGCUGUCACUACGAGAUGGGCCCGCGGCGCAUUAGCUAGUUGGUAGGGUAACGGCCUACCAAGGCGACGAUGCGUAGCCGACCUGAGAGGGUGAUCGGCCACACUGGGACUGAGACACGGCCCAGACUCCUACGGGAGGCAGCAGUAGGGAAUCUUCCACAAUGGACGAAAGUCUGAUGGAGCAACGCCGCGUGAGUGAAGAAGGUUUUCGGAUCGUAAAACUCUGUUGUAAGGGAAGAACACGUACGAGAGUAACUGCUCGUACCUUGACGGUACCU
rnacentral:rRNA from 1 species